AGGGAAUCUUCCGCAAUGGACGAAAGUCUGACGGAGCAACGCCGCGUGAGUGAAGAAGGCCUUCGGGUCGUAAAACUCUGUCGCCGGGGAAGAGCAAGUGCCGUUCGAACAGGGCGGCGCCUUGACGGUACCCGGCCAGAAAGCCACGGCUAACUACGUGCCAGCAGCCGCGGUAAUACGUAGGUGGCAAGCGUUGUCCGGAAUUAUUGGGCGUAAAGCGCGCGCAGGCGGCUUCGUAAGUCUGAUGUGAAAUCUUGCGGCUCAACCGCAAGCGGUCAUUGGAAACUGGGAGGCUUGAGUGCAGAAGAGGAGAGUGGAAUUCCACGUGUAGCGGUGAAAUGCGUAGAGAUGUGGAGGAACACCAGUGGCGAAGGCGACUCUCUGGGCUGUAACUGACGCUGAGGCGCGAAAGCGUGGGGAGCAAAC
rnacentral:rRNA from 1 species